CAGUCGCCACGGGAAUACGUAGGUGGCAAGCGUUGUCCGGAAUUAUAGGGCGUAAAGCGCGCGCAGGCGGAUAGGUCAGUCUGUCUUAAAAGUUCGGGGCUUAACCCCGUGAUGGGAUGGAAACUGCCAAUCUAGAGUAUCGGAGAGGAAAGUGGAAUUCCUAGUGUAGCGGUGAAAUGCGUAGAUAUUAGGAAGAACACCAGUGGCGAAGGCGACUUUCUGGACGAAAACUGACGCUGAGGCGCGAAAGCCAGGGGAGCGAACGGGAUUAGAUACCCGAGUAGUCCCUGUCUCUUAUACA
rnacentral:rRNA from 1 species